GAAGGGAGCUAGCGUUGCUCGGAUUUACUGGGCGUAAAGAGCGUGUAAGCGGCUAUCUAAGUUGGGAGUGAAAUCCCGGGGCUCAACCUCGGAAUUGCUUCCAAAACUGGACAGCUUGAGAUUGGUAGGGGAUGGUGGAAUUCCUAGUGUAGAGGUGAAAUUCGUAGAUAUUAGGAGGAACACCGGUGGCGAAGGCGACCAUCUGGACCAGAUCUGACGCUGAGACGCGAAAGCGUGGGGAGCGAACAGGAUUAGAUACCCUGGUAGUCCACGCCGUAAACGAUGGAUGCUAGAUGUUGCCCCCUUCUUGAGGGGCAGUGUCCAAGCUAACGCGGUAAGCAUCCCACCUGGGGAGUACGUUCGCAAGGAUG
rnacentral:rRNA from 1 species